AGGAUAAACGCUGGCGGCGUGCCUAACACAUGCAAGUCGAACGUCUCUUUCUUCGGGAAGAGGAGUGGCGGACGGGUGAGGAACACGUGGGAACCUGCCCUUCAGUGAGGAAUACCGGCGAGAAAUCGCCGACAAGACCGCAUAGCCCUCUCUGGUGAGAGCCAGAGAAGGAAAGCCUCGCAAGAGGCGCUGGAGGAGGGGCCUGCGUCCGAUUAGCUAGUUGGUGGGGUAAGAGCCUACCAAGGCGUCGAUCGGUAGCUGGUCUGAGAGGACGAUCAGCCACACUGGGAUUGAGAACGGCCCAGACUCCUACGGGGGCAGCAGUGAGGAAUUUUCGGCAAUGGGGGAAACCCUGACCGAGCAACGCCGCGUGCAGGAAGACGGCCUUCGGGUGUAACUGCUUUCUCGGGACGAGAACGGACGGUACCCGAGGAUCAGCCCGGCUAACUACGUGCCAGCAGCCGC
rnacentral:rRNA from 1 species